ensembl:lncRNA
GUUAGUUGCUGACAAGUGAAGAGGGUGCUCUUCUAUCCUUGGGACAGUAAUCAAAAAAUAAUAGGCUAGAUCCUCAAAUCUGAUCUGGCACUUCUGAGGAGCUCGGGAGGCGAAAAGGAGCUAGCAACCAUCCUGCUGCAAGUGGACAGCCAGAAAUACCUCUCCUGCACACCCCACCUUGCAGGGAGGGCAAAAAAAUAAGAUGCAGGUGGAGAUCUGCCCCCAUAUAGAGUCCACCUUAACCUCCACUAACAUAGUGUAAGUGAGGAGUUUUAACCCAUAGGCAGGAUAUACUCUCCUGAGAAAACCCAGCUGUUCUGAUUCUGAUAGCCUCUGAUCUGUGGCUCAGCCUACGUCAGAUUGCUCUGAGUUCUGCCACCAGCUGUCUGCCAUCAGCAUUUCUUGGGAGAACUUUUCAGCGACAUCUGAGCCAAAUUUCUGUGGGAGUGGAGAAGAAAGAGGAAAGGAUUGAAAGUGUUGUUUUGAAAAUUGGAAGCCGAUGGUCUUACUCAGUCCUCUGUCUUCAGGACCUGCAGUAAAAAAUUUAAAGAUAUUUAACCACUGGAUGAAAUGUGCCUGGGCACCCCGACAGAGACCAGAAAUGCACAAUAAAGAACAAUGCUUCUGUCGUGAAGGAAAGAAGAAAAAAGCAACACAAAACCCGCAGAUAUUUAAGAGCACUGCCCCUCUUCCAGUGUAUAUGAAAGUGAUCCAAGGUUCUUAGUGGUUGUGUGAUACACACACUCAGAAUGGCUGUAGAAAGGACAUCCACAGCAAUGUAGCUAACGCGCUCCUCGCUCCUAAAAGUCUUUCAGCAUUCUGCAGAGCCCAGGGGCCCCAAAACCUUACUAAACAGUCUCCUCUAUAUCAAAUUAAUUAGGAAAUUUGUUUUAGAAGUAUGUUCCCAGUUUUGCCUUCAUGUUAGCGUUUCCAAACUUUCCCCAGAACCAGCUCUAGUGUUUUAAAGCAAGUGCCAUGUGGGAGGAGAGAAAUAGUGCUGAGCAAGAGCAGGAGCAGUACAGGAUGGCUAUGUGCCAGGUUCUGCCUCGUCAUCCUGAAAUCCAGUUCUGUGGGAGCUGUGAGUCACUUCCAUGGAUAUAAAAGUAGAAAGUUUAUACAAACCCAAGGAGAGCUGUGGAGUUUUAUUGCCAAUUCCCUGCUGGCUGCUAGCUCUACAGUUUCUUGCCUGGUUCUCCAUCUCACCCCUGGAUUUUCUCAGUCCUCAAUUGCUCGGUAAUUUUCUGCCUUAUCUCUAGAGCCAUGCUAGUUUUGUCACUCAGGAGCUGCAAGCAAAACAAGCACGCUGACCUCAGGAGGAGAAAAGGGAGGGUGGGUGGGUCAGAUCGUGACUGUGCCAAGUUCAUACCUGCACAGUGUCUGACCUGCCAAACGGAGUCAGGGUGUCUCCCUUUGGGGGCCUAGCCAGUCCCCACAGCCCCCAAGGAGAGGCUGUUAUCUCUGAGAUGGGGUUAGGGGAGAUGUUGGGAGCAGCAGGAGAGGAGUCUUCAAGCAGAAGAGAAAACGAGAUGGGAGAUUGUCCUGUCUCUGAGAUUAAUGGCCUUCACUGGCAAACAUUAAGUCAAGUCCAGACAGGAAUCCCACGUCAUAUUCAAGUGUUAAAAGACAGAAAGAUAGAGAGAUAGAAGGGAAAGUAAGAGAUAAUUAAUAUGAAAUGGUUGUCUCUGGUCCUUGUGUAAGAAAGAGUCAAGAAGGUCAGGGCCACAGGGUGAUGGGUCAGACAUCAGUGUGAUCAAACACUCAUCAGCAUCAACAGACCCCAUAUCUCUUACCUGGUUAGACCAUAGUACAGCAAAAGACCUAUCUUCCCCUGAACUCAGUUCUGAUCUUCCAGGAUAAACUCAAACAGUGCAGAAGGCAGUGGAUCCCACCCUCUUUGAUUCCAGAAAAAGAAGGGUUUUGGCACUUACUCAUUACUUUUUAAGAUAACAUUUUUUGAUAGCCAUUAAAAAUGAAUAACAUGAAAGGUUGCAUGGACUACAAGUUAGGGUAUAACUCUGAUCAUCAUUCAGAGCUUUGCUGUGUCAUGGAAGUGAAUGAGGGAACAGCUUUUGACCUUUUUUCUUUAAAUUAAUAAUGGAGGGCACAGAUUUUUUUCUUCAUCUGCAGAAGCGAUUUAAAUUAAUAUAUUGAAAAAAAUAAUCCUAUUUAAUGAUGGCUUUACUGAACUACUGGGUUGUAUGUUUUGUUUUCUGUUUUUAUUGGAUUUUCUUUCCGGUUACAAAGCGUGGUAACUAAGCCACUUUACUUCUUACAUUUCUACUAAUUCAUCUUCUCCUUCUGCUUGCUUCUUCCAUAAGGUCAUAAUCCAAUACCGACACAACAAUCGUCUGCACCAUCUCAGCUAAUUACAUCACAGUGCUUUGAGACUUUUGAUGAGGAUUAAAUGACAUGGUGACAGCUUUCUGCUUUGAUAUUUCUGCUGCCUGUGCUUACAUCUUCACCUGUAAAUUAGAGAGAAUGCACAAAAAGGUCAACACACAGUCCAGAAGGAAAGUGAUCAGUGUUCUAUGCAUUCAUAGUUUUUGGUCCAUAGAACUGAUUUUUAGUCUGAAAUUUCCCUUAAGAAAUGGUAGUUGGUUGCAUAUUAGCUAAAUGGAGGCCAUAGAGAUUUAUGCCGUACCGUGGCUGUUCAUUAGCCUGUGUGAAAUAAAAUGAGUUUGGUCCACCUGCAGUGUUAUUUUUUACUGCAGAUUAUCUACCUGGGAAAGGCAUCAAGAGAACAAGGCUUCUGCACUACAAACAUAAUCUGUCUAAACUAUAGCAGAUUUGGAGAGUAGAGUUAUGAAAUGACUCAUAAUCAUGGCCUGUCCAUGUAUGCUGUUAUUUAGAAAAUAAUUUCCUUUUUGUGGGGAGAAAACUAUAAUGACAUAUGACCAAAAGUCCAGUCAUUUCAGUCACCUGUCUCCAAAAGUGGCUGAAAAGAUAUAUGUCAUGAUAAGAACAGGAAUGCUUUUCCCAGUCUCCAAAAAUCACUAUCACGUUGAUCUAAAGAAAGAAAAGUGUGAUAUGCCUGAGUGAGAAAUUCAGGAAAGUUAUAAAAGGUCACAGUUAGCUAGGUUUGGAUGUGCUAUGCAGUAUGAGUAGCAGAAAGAAUGACAAAUUAGCAGGAAAUAGCAUUUUGAUCUAUCUCUCUAUACUUCUGGUUGCACAUCUUAAGAAGACAAAAAUAAAAUGGAGUUGGUUGGAGGAAGCUCACUUGGGAUUAGGUGUCUAUAAGUUCUCCAUAGGUACCUCUCCCCUACAGCCCCCUAUCCUACAACUCACUUUAACAGUCAGAAAGUGAUGACCAAGUGCCUGUUGAACGCUGAACACUGAGCAUCUCUGCCUGCAGAGAGGCUAAUUUCAAGCCAGCAAGUACAUUUCCAGGAAAAACAUCUUUAUUAAUGUAUCCACCAUCCUGUGGCCUCUUUUCUGAAGAUUGUUGAUGAGUUUUUCAAGAGCUGUUAACAUCCAGAUGUCUCCUGUCUCAACUGAGAGAGCUUUCUGGAGAGCUUUCCUAGCUUGCACUUUUGUGGUUCAUAGCUGUGACAUGAAACAUCUUUCAUGAUGGAAAGGAACGUCCCUUCAUGUGACCAGCAGGCCAACACUCUGUGGAUCAUUAGGCAGCCCAGCAUAGGAGCAUUGUGUUGAGGAACACAGCGGAGAGUACAGUAAUGGACACUUCCGAUCUGGCAUAUCCUAAAUACUGAAUACUUGGAUAAUUUAUGCUUAUGCAUACAUUCCUUGGUGAGAGAACAAAAUAAGAUCUGAUAAUGUUUCUCUUAAGCAAGUCUCAACAAAAUCAUAGCUCUUGCUUGACAAGUAAUGAGACUGCUGUUUUUCCUCCUCCUUUUUUGAAGGCUUCAUAUGAAUUUUUGUAGUCUUGGGUUAUUGCCCUGGGGAAUGGAAUAUAAUUUGAGUGACUGAAUGUACUGUCUUUAUUUUGACUUUGAGUGGGGUUGGGUCUAACAAACAAAGAAGCUUCCAUGUGAGCAGCCCGGACAAGAGUAGCCUUUUUCAUCCAAGCAAAUUGUGCAGCAGGAAGGAGAUCUACAAACAACAACUUAAAAACCCUGGUGAUGACUGCAAGCUGCACAUUCUUAUUGUGCUGAUGGUUUGUGUACUCCUUUACUCUUUUAAUGGAGGGCUUUCUCAGACAGCUCAGAAACCCUGGCCGUAGCAGAAAGGUCACACGAGUGAAGAUGAGAAAGACCCUGGAGAGCUUCAGUGUGGGUGAGCCAUCAGAGCAACCUAUACGGAAGAGCAAAGGGUCUGUGAAGUGUUACAGGACACUCAGGCCACCACAGGUGAAUUCCCCCACUGGAGGGGUGUGACAGAGACAGGGAGAGAGCUCCGUACUUGUUGCAGUCACUCUGAGGGAAAGUUUCCCAGCUUUUCUCCCCCAGCUUCAAUACCAAGACCAGAAGACGCGGGACCCCAGUAGACCAAGCAUCUCCAGCAAUCUCAUGGCUUCAGAUAUUUCUGGGACUGAUGGCUGAUAUGAACAAAUAUUUGGGGGAUUAAAAAACCCGUCUGGUAUGAAAGGAAAUAUUUCUGUAUUAACUUUGGUCAAGGCUAACAAACCUCAAGUUAGUAUGAGCAUUAUCCCUGUUUUCUGCUUUAGUCCAACUAGAGAAUCUCAUGGUGCAAAAACUGCCAUAUAAGCAAUGUGUUGAUACAUGAGAAUUAAUGGGUGGUUAAAAUUAAAACAAACAAACAAACAAACAAACAAACAAAAAGGUAAAAUGAUUAUUUAAAUGAAAAACUGCAAGAAGUAUUCUGGUUCACAGAGAUAAGGAAACCAUGUCUAUUCUAUUUCAUCUGUUAUACUUUUUUAUCUUGGCAAUUUCUCUUUGAAAACUAUGAAAACAUUUGUAGCUGCCUGAGGAUUCUGUGGGAAAAUAUCUACUUUUUAGCAGUUAUCUUCAUCUGUUCCUAUGACUUCUGUGUACUGCUGUUGUGACAACAGAUCAAUUACAGCUAUUCUAGUUUCCAACUGAAUUUGGAUUAUUGGGUCAUUUUAAGGCCUUCUCUGAAUCAACUGCAUGCUCUACAUAAGUUAUUAUGUAAGUCAAGGUAUUUCAUUUUCUAAAGAAGCAAAGAAAAUGUUUUCUAGACCAAUAUAUUGCUGUAUAUUUUGCCCUACUUCUUUUUCCAGUGGAAAAUGGAGAAGAAUGUAGUGCAGGAUAUCAUGCAAACUUUCUCUGUUUAGCUGUGUGAUGUUAAUAUUUUAUUUCAGUUAUUUACAGUGUAUAAACUUGGAGCUCAAUGAGGUAAAUGGGGAAGCUGGAAUUCACAAACAUCACUGCAAAUCCCAUCAACAGUUAAAGACAACAGGUCUGAAACGCUCCUCAGUGUGUAUGAAACAGACUGUGCAAACACUAAACAGUCACUUUGGGUAAAAUGACAUUUGCAACUUAGAGGCAAGGAUACUUACAGAAAUUAUUCCAUUUGAGCAAAUUCACCUUUACCAGAAAGACCCUACUGAGUCAUUUGAAACUUCAUAUCUGACAAGGGAGUGGGAAAACCAGCUAAGAGCACCCUGAAGCAACCAGGAUCUCUUGGUCAAGUGCAAGAGCUGGGUUGUAACAACAAAAGGGGCUGUUACGUGGCAACUGAUGAGAAGCAGGAGCGUGUUUGGCUUACAGCAGCACUAAAGUAAACAGGAAAUUGCACACAGAAUCUGACCCUCCCUUCAGCCUGUUUUUUGAAGAAUUAGCAGAUUCUUGUCUCUGAGCAUAAGGCAGUUUUUUCAGCCUUCCAUUCAUCUUGGUGGCUCUUUGCUGCAGGCUCUGUACCCUUUCAAGUCCCCGUGAAAAUCAGGAUACCAGAAUUACUUGCUGGUGUCUAUGUUGACAACUGAGCUAAAUUUAAUUUUCUGCUCCUCUGAUUAUAUACCCAGGAUCUAGGCUGCUGGCACUGCCCCAGGUAACUGCUGCUCCUUGUCUGGUGUCACCUCUCAAGCUGCCAUAAGGGAGUUGUUGUUCCUGAAGAUCCUGUUGCCCACCCCAUGACGAUGGCCUGGCUUUUGUCUUCUUGUGGUUCUUUGAUGUGCAACCUCAUUUGGCUAUGGCAUCACAGCACAUUUUGGCUGUAACCCCACACCCGAUGGAGGGCACACCCAGAACUGCUCAUGGAUUCUCCAGUCUGGAGAUGAGGGUUGAAGCACAGGUUCACUGAGUGAUGGAAGUCGUUCUGCAUCACUGUCCCUUCCUCAUCAUUGUGAACCUCUUCAUCAUUUAUCCGUGUUGCUAGAAAUAAUUUUUAUAUACUUCUCAGCUGAGAAAGUUCAACUCUAAUAUAAAUACCUGCAAAACAAUACUGGAAAUGACCCCUUGACAAAUAAUUUAAUAGUUUAAGGCAUUUAGUGUGUUGUAUUGGUAGCUCUCACCCAUGUGUCACACAGGACUCCUUUAAGGAGAAUCCAAGCAUAUCUCUUCUUCUGUCAAGCUGCUUUAUCAUGCAAACUGGUAAUCUUGUCAAGAAAGGAAAUCAGAUUUUUUUACAAACAGAUUGAUUUUCCAUAAAGCUAUGUGGAUCAGCAUUAAUUAAACUCUCUGACUCUGCUUCCUCUUCCAUUUUCAAGGCCUUUUGUUAUUUUUUAUUUGCUAAUGUCAGGCUCAAUAGCUGAAGUUAGGCUGCUGCUGACACAGAAUCAGCAUGUUCCCACGCUUCUGGGAUUUGCAUGGUGCUCUGAGAUCUCUACAAAAUUACUAUCAGAAAAGGUCAUUUUUCUUUUUUGCUAACACUAAUCAAAACUCUCACUCGUCUUGAAUAGUUUGCCAUCUCCCUCUAGCAAUUGGAUGGUAUCACAGAUAGUAUUUUGCUACUGGUAGAUGGAAAACAGGCUAUCCUGCUUCUCAGCAGAGCCAUCCAGCACAGCACCCUGUCACCAGCAGUGCACGAAAGCAAUUGCUGAGGAAAGCUGAUAAGCACAGGUGAACAGCCCCAAGUGCUCUGCCAACAGCCAGCCACAAUACUCAUACUUUCUGUUGUAUUGCUACACAGUGUAUUUUCUAAUUUGUAUUACUUGCCUUUACAAUCCCUACAUUCACUAUUAUGUGUAUGUCCAUAGGUGUAUACAAUCUCACAAGCUUCCACUAUCGUUAUUAAAAUCUUAAAGAAUUACAUACACGUUAGUCAAAGCUCUCUUGAUUGCAGAAGAGGUACUUUAUAGCCCUGGCUAAGAAAACUUCUGGAUAUGCCGCUUCAGUACCUGUUGACGCAUAUUACUUAUACUGACCUAUCUAAUGGAAUGCAAAUCCCAGUGAAGCACUACUGGUUAGCUGUCUUCCAUUGCUGGCUUCUCAGGGAACACAUUUACACAAACUUCUUUUUUCCUCCUCACUGAACAGUUGUGAGUCCAUAGGGCGAUUUUUUCAGCAGCUUUUUACAUAUAUACUUGUAAAUAUUAGAAUAUGUAUAAAUUUGAUGUAUUUACAAGAUAGACCAAUUAAUGCCCCGACUAUGCAGAAGCAUCUGUAAAAGUAAGAUAUCUAGCAGAUAACAAGAAUACUGUUUACUUUAGUGCACUGACAUAAUCUAAUUAAUUUAAUCAAUUAUUACGUACUUGUAGGCCAAACAGGCAUGCUGUAGAGAGCAAAGGAGAGUGUCUCUAGAUGGCUUUGCCAAUUGGAGAGUGCACUGUAUGAGAGCAUGUGUCAUUCAUUUAAUUUAAUGUAUGAUUAACAACUCCUUAACAUGAUUAGCACUUCUCUAAUUGUGACUGACAUGAGAAGUAGUUCAUCAGUGUUUCCACAUAUGCAGCUACAUUGAUUGUUAAAAUGGAAAAGCAAACACAUUUGGCAGACAGCAGUCCAGCAUUUUGGAAUGUUCCAGAGGCUCUUCCAGCAACGUCCCAGUAAACCUCUAAUUAGGUCUGACAUGAGUGGCUUUACCCAUAUCCCUGUGUUUUUUUUUCAAGCUGGCAUUUGGCUCUCGUGUUGAGAUGGUCUCCAACAGGUGGCCUUUCACUGGACGGCUACCAAGUGACAUUGGUGACAGCAAAAAUCUGCUUCUGCAGAUGAAGUACAUGGGAUAUGACAGAGUCAAAAGGCAACAUAAAGUGCACAGGAAAUGUAUCCAGAUAAGCUGUGGUCAGUUCUCUUUUUUCCAGUUUUCUUUUUCUUUUUAAAGAUGAGCUUAUCUGACCUCUGCUCUUCUCUUAAAAAGCCUGGAUUUACCCACUCACUGACUUCAGAUUUAGUCCAAGGGCAUUCAGGAGGCAAACACUGUGUUAAUUCUCUCCACUGAAAAACUCCAUGUGCUGCAAGAAAAGCAUUUGUUAUAGGGGGCAUUCUCUCUUUUAAAAUAUAAGUUCUUGCUCUUCAAAAUUUACUUCUUAUAGGUUUUUUCUGGUACCACAUGGUGAAGUCAAUGUAGGUCUUUGGCUCGGCAUCAUUGUGUGGGGCCUUUCGUUUAAGGUAACUCAAUACUUCAUAGGAGAAGAAGGAGGCUUCUUUCUUUCUGCUGGGUUGCAUAUGGCCUCCAGGGUAACUCAGACAUUGGCCUGACUCCCCAGGCAGUGAGGGAACUGCAGAGUCCUCAGCCCACCUUCAGGCUGGGGCUAUUUCCUCCCUGUCAGAAGGUUUCAAAAUUAAAUCUUCUCACUCAGCCAGGCAGCUGUAAACUGGUCCCUGUGGUCUGAGCCUCUGAAAUUGUACUGGGGGAAGGGGGAGGUUGUAGGUGGCAGCCGGCAUGGAAAACCCAAGUGCAAACCCUGCUUAUUUUAUUAAAAGUUUGCAAACCCAGAGGUUAGGUUAGAUAAGCACAGUGAUAAUAACAUAAAGAAGCAUUUGAUAUUGAGUGCUUAUACUCUAAGGGCAUUGCUUUAGCAGAAUGAAAGGCCUUUAGAACAUCCCUAGAUGGCAGCGUCCAUUGAGACCAAGGCCCAUCUUUACUGCAGUGCUUUCUCUGUGGUACUCAGCUCCAGAUGCACGGGUGAAUGUAAAGUUACAGGUGAACGGGGACUACCGAGUAUGAAAGGAGAAGCAGAUCUGCCCUCUUGUGUGCAAGGCAUCUACUGCAUCUUUUUCCGAAAUGAAUCCUAAAUGAAUUUACUCUUUGGAGUAAUAAAUGAGGAAAAUACAUCAGUGUUUUAACAUUAGCAUGAAAUGAAAAAUGGGAAAAGAAAGAAUGAAGGCUGGCAUUCAAGAUUUAAAGGUGAUUUCUUUUGAUGAACUAGUUUGUAAAUCUGAAGGCAGUAGACUAAUGAGAGUAGCAUGAUCAGGAGAAGCUGUUCUGAAUAUCGAGGCUAUCAAACUUAAGGAUAAGAAAGUAUAAGUAGUACAGAAAGCUCUAAAUAAAUCUAAGUGCCAGGGAAACUCAACCAGCUGCAAAAUUAUUACCCAUUAAAAGUAAGCCUUUUUUUUUUUCUUUUUUUUUUUAAUGGGUGAACGUAAUAGCUUCAGCAUUUUCAUUGCACUCAUCACAGCAGUAAAGGCUGUGAGAGAAGAUUUGGGCUGAGGUAAGCAUAUUUUGCUAGCCUUAAUUAAAGCAGAAAGGGACCCAGGGCAGCUGACUUGACAGGGCUGGUAAGGUCAGGCUGAGCUUCCGUGUCCUCCACGCUCUCUGUUUCCUUCUGAAAAUUCAUGGCCAGCUCCCUUAGUCCCAUACCUUCCCAAAUGCCAUAUAAUAGAGACUUUUUUUUAAAAAAAAAAAGAUAACCAUGGAAAGCUUGUCAACAAGAUUAAGAGACAACACUCUUGGCAAACAAACAAUAAUGCAGCAUGGAGUGUUUUCAGGGCCUGGCUUGGUCUCGCUCCACUCUAGUACUGGCAGGCCCAGCGGUUGGUAGCCUUAUAAAUCACUGCUCACUUUCUGCAGCACUAAAGGAGAACCUGAGAGUAGAUCACGGAUUUACAGCCCAGUAGAGCAAUUUGGUGUGAAAUUUGCAUGCACUUCUAGAACAUGGGCUGCAGAAAAAGGUUUAUUUGCAAUUUGUCUCUACUGCUCCAACAGUCCAGUAGAUCUGAUGGCAUCCCUUUUUCUCUUCUUCACAAUGAGAAAACAAUUAUAGUUUUGGCCUGUAGAUAAAGCAAGAUGCAACAAAAUGAAUAAACUCUGCACCGUAUAAGAAUUCCAUCAUACACAGAAGUGAUACAUGCUGGUUAGAUACUUUUUCCUGCAGUUCUCACACUCUCGCUUCAUCAGUCUGUGUAAGUAGCACAGUGAAAAAAGCAAUAGAGCAAUCUCAUAUGAACUGGACUACUUUUCUCUGCAGCAAAAUUGCACCAGCAACAAAUGUGACUCUAUAGACCACAGGUACACGUAGUGUCAUUCCAUUAUAGAAAACCCUGGCCGCUUUCCCAAGGCCAAACAUGAAUACAGAAAUGAACCAAGUAUAUUUUCUGCCAGUGAGAUAAAAAUUAUUAUUCCGGUUCCUUCUUUGUUAAUGGUCAACUGACCCACGUUAAAUUGGUUAUUGCAGACUUGGGGGACUGUGUCUUUUUAUGCUUGUUUGUGUUAUUAAAUGGUGUAAUUAGCCUCUACCUGACUUCUGAGGUUGCAGUUUGAAACAGCAAUGAUCUUGAAGCUGUGUCUCAUCUGUGUCAUGUGGCCAGCAUAAGGACAGUUUUACAGGCUGCAAAGGGACAUGUCUGGGAACACCGGGUGAAGGACAGAUCAGAUGUUCCCAGUUAACCAGUUCUAACUUAAAGAAAGACUUAAAUAAUUACUUCAUAAAUGCACUUUACAAAAGCUAUUUAAACAUUUGGUUGUCUGAUAACAUUUAUAUAUACAUAUAUAUGCAUAUGUAUCUUAGAAUGGGAAUUCUACUGGAAAAACACGUCAGCCAGACUGGAUGGAAGGAGUGAACUUGUUGGUUACACACUGCAACCACUGUGACUCUCACCUUACUGUUCGGUUCAGGAGGGAGUCCCUGUCCAGCAGACAGCAUUGCUUGCCUUUCGUCUAUUUCCCUCUUUUUCAAAUUGUGGAUGUUAAUUCUCCCAGCCCUGUCAUAAGCCACCUCCUAGGCUCUCGCCCAAGAUGCCUAAUGAACUCCCCUGGCCCUUGCCCUGCCGAUUGGGCCAACAACAGUCAAACCUCACGAGCGUCUUCCAUCCUGCCCCUAUUUCUUUCCUUCCUGAAGGGCUGAAGCUCAUGCACAGGCCAAGAAAAGCACACAGUUUUCCCCUUCUAGUUGUUUCUCAGGGCACUUUGCACUGGCAGGCACAGGACAUGUAUAAAGUCGCCGCAAGGCAGGGAUCUAACUUGAAUCCUGGACAACAGAAAGCAUGAGUAUGUGCCUUCUAGUCCUUCUUCCUCAGCAACUCCACAGCCCCAGGGAUCACAGAGGAGCCAAGACAUCCUCAGGAGAUCUUUGUGCCAUCACAGCAUUGAUGCUGCCACUUGCUAUUGCUAGAGAGAUAUCUGGCUCCCUUACCGUAAUUACAUCGUGGAUGCUUUUAGUGUAACUUUGAACUUGUGUAUUUAAAAAAUGGGAGGAAUUUGCAAUAGAGUCAGCACAUGGCAGUAUCUGAAUGACUAAUCGCCAGCAGAGGUUAAUGUCCCUUAGCUUCCUCACAGGCCAUCAACCCUUAGAACUGAUAAUUAAUUGCCUGAAAUAGCCUAUGCCAUUGUCAUUACUGCUUAAUUAUUCAGAUGAAAUGAAUAAUAUCAAUGCUAGGACUUCAGUCUUCGUAAAUGGAGAAUUCUGUCUCUUUUUUUCCCACAUUCCACAUAUUAUUUUUGUCGCCGCUUUAAUAGAUGUUGCUUCAUGCCUUUUGAGCUUUCAUAAAGGUAAAGACAUUUCUUAUGUAUGGGAUAGCAUAUAGAACAAAUAACCAGCUUACAUUCAGUUAUCGUCGCGUGACUGAACGAAUAACCACAGAAAUCAAUCAUGGCAGGAAAAAAAUGAAUUAAAUGGAACUUAUAGGAAGAGCUACAUCCAAGCCACAGAGCAGAUGCAGAGUAUGGCAUAGCUCUGCUUUCCAGAGCCCGGCCAUGGGGUGCUCUGAGGGGCACCUGAAGCCAGUCCAAGUAUGACAGCUCACAGUCAGAGGUUCAGAGAGGUUUGGAUCCAAGGUUUUGUUACACUACCUCAAAGAUCACUUCUCAGCUGUUGAUUUUCAUAUCCCAGUGCAUGCUCAGAUUUCUGAAGCUUGUUCUGAACUCGUGACUGUUCAAGGUGUUGAAAUUACUUGCAACCUGAUUGUUCGUUAUAAAGUAUUUUGCUUACAUUCGUUCAGUAGCAAACACAUACGAUAGUUCUUUAUGCCUAUCAUCUGACAGCUCUUUUGCCAAAUGCAGAUUGGCAGAUCAAGGUCUUGGCUUAGGAAACCUUCCCAUCUGAUUAAAAUGAUGGUCACUGUCUCUUCAGCUGCUUCUUUUAUGAACAAUAUUUUGAGUAUGUCUCUUUUCCUGCUUAUGUAUCUACAUAAACGCAUGGAAGCCAUGAGUUAAUGUGUGAUAUAUCAUAGAGCCUGUUGUCAAGGGAUGCUUUCAUUUGGGGAAAUAAAUCUUGUGUGCAUGAGAACACCUUCGUGGUCAGUCAGAGAGGAAGCUGCCAUGCAUGUGGUGUUCUGCAGGAUUUCAUGUUGCGCAGGUCUGCUUCUCAAUAUAGCACUUCCUUCC